rnacentral:piRNA from 1 species
GGGGAAAUGUUAGUGAAUUGUGAUCACCAA